AAAGCUGACAUAUCUUUUAGCAGUAAUAAGUUGUUGUCAUCAUUUGUGUGGCUUCUACUGUAAGGCCACUAAAAUCAAUUAGAAUUUUUUUUUUUAGGCUAAAUAAAUAAAUCAUGGUAAUUAAAUACUUAAUUUUGUCAAUAUUGAAGAGUAGAUUUAUUUAGUGUAAUAAAAAAUCUUAAAUAUUUAUGUGGUGUCAUUUUCUCUUAGUUAAUGGGGAAAAUAUGUGGUGUAUAUAAUUACUUGGUUAUACUCUUACUUUUUCUUUUUAAUAAUAAUUGUUCAAUUACUCCAUCUGUCUAAAUUUAUUUAUUUUUGAUGAAGUUUUUGUAAGUAUUUUUUAAAUAUUUUAAUGUGUUAAUUCUUUUGAUUUAUAGCAUUUUUUGUAGUUCUAAAAGGAUAAAUAGGGUGAUAGAGAAGCAGAUCCUUCAGUUGUUACCCUAAAACCCUAGAACUUGCUUCCAAAUAUGGCUUUGCACGCAUCAUCUCGAAAGGUUGUACAGGAUUAUCUGAUGUUCCGAGCUCUUAUCAAAGGCGACCCCAUAUUUAAGGCUUCCCCAACCCUAAAAUGGUGAUACUAAAGACGAAGUUUAGGAGCCUGAGCAAUGUUGAUGUGAUUGCUUUUGUUUAUGAUUGUAGCGUUAAAUAAGAUUUGUAGUUUUUAUUAUGAAGCUUUUGAUAUACUUUUGGUGCUUUGCAGGAUGGUUUGUGUGCAGAAAAGGUUAUUCUAUCAUGUGCAAUUUGUGUU